rnacentral:ncRNA from 2 species
CAUUUAAUUGCAAAUAACGCUCAUAUAAUCGUGGGAAUAUGGCCCACAAGUUUCUACCAAAUAACCGUAAAUUAUUUGACUAUGAGUGAGGUUAAAUGUUUC